GGGGGGGGCGGGCGGGGGGCCGGGCGGAGGGAGGGCGGGGGGGAGGGCGGGGGGGGGGGGCUCUUACGGGUGGCGAGUGGCGGACGGGUGAGGGAUGCAGCGGAAUCGACUUUUUCGGGGGGGAUAACGGAGGGAAACUUACGCUACGACCGCAUACGACCUACGGGUGAACGCAGGGGGUCUUCGGCCCUUGCGCGAAUGAAUGAGCCGAUGUCGGAUUAGCUAGUUGGCUGGGUAAAGGCCCACCAAGGCGACGAUCCGUAGCUGGUCUGAGAGGAUGAUCAGCCACACUGGAACUGAGACACGGUCCAGACUCCUACGUGAGGCAGCAGUGGGGAAUAUUGGACAAUGGGCGCAAGCCUGAUCCAGCCAUACCGCGUGGGUGAAGAAGGCCUUCGGGUUGUAAAGCCCUUUUGUUGGGAAAGAAAAGCAGCAGGUUAAUACCCCGCUGUUCUGACGGUACCCAAAGAAUAAGCACCGGCUAACUUCGUG
rnacentral:rRNA from 1 species